rnacentral:lncRNA from 1 species
CCCGCUCGCUCGGGCUCGGCGCAGACCCGCCCGGGCGCACUCCUCCCGCCGGCUCCGGGCGUCCCGCCGCCCAGCCGGGAACUGGCCGGCGAUCCCCGCCACCCUUAAGGGUGCUGCCGACACCCAGCGCGGAGGCUAGCCGGUGGAGGUCUCUAGGGGAGGCUAGACCGCGGUGGCGCGCGGCUCUCCUACUCGCAGGUCUUCCUUUGAUAACAGUGGAUGAUGACUCUGCUCUUCUGCCCAAGAGUGGUUCAAAAUUGCUCAUCACGACAUGCCUUGCACCAUGCUUCAGGACAGAAAGGCAACAGAAGUUGGGAAGAGAAGGAUUCUCAAAUAGGUUACUGCUGUGAGCAAGUGGGGACCUCUGCUCCUUGGGGGGCAAGAAAGCAAGGUAUUGCCCACCAACUCCACUGUGUCGUCAGUGGGGGCUGCUUGAGGAUGCUAACUCCCUGACAUCCAGCUGAUGCACUCCUGCUCCAGAUCCGAGGAAGCCCCCCAGGC